CUCCAGCCAGUGAUUCAGAUGCAAACACGUCCACACUCACCAGGAUCUUACGACAGUAACAAAACCAGCGGCUGCCGUCUUCUCCGGUCAGGACGAAGGAGAAGGUCUCACUGCGAACACAUCGACACCCAGGAGAGGGCUUCCAGUCCUGUGAGUCAGGGAAGCAGAACUUGGGAAUGACCUUCAGCUGAUCCUCAGCCUCUCUGGAGAGCCGGGACGACUUCUCAAACUGAAACAGAGGAACUCAGUUAAGCACAGCAGCGGUUCUCUAAACGGGAUCCUUGAAGUGGUUCCAGGGGAGUAGGUGUUUCCAGGGGAGCCUUUUCUCAGCGACACCACCACGAAGAUCUGGAAAAGCUGCUGCUGCUGCAGCUGGAUUAAGUCUCUCUCCAAGGUGCGGUAGCCUGGCCGA